UAGGGAAUCUUCGGCAAUGGACGAAAGUCUGACCGAGCAACGCCGCGUGAGUGAAGAAGGUUUUCGGAUCGUAAAGCUCUGUUGUAAGAGAAGAACGGGUGUGAGAGUGGAAAGUUCACACUGUGACGGUAUCUUACCAGAAAGGGACGGCUAACUACGUGCCAGCAGCCGCGGUAAUACGUAGGUCCCGAGCGUUGUCCGGAUUUAUUGGGCGUAAAGCGAGCGCAGGCGGUUAGAUAAGUCUGAAGUUAAAGGCUGUGGCUUAACCAUAGUACGCUUUGGAAACUGUUUAACUUGAGUGCAGAAGGGGAGAGUGGAAUUCCAUGUGUAGCGGUGAAAUGCGUAGAUAUAUGGAGGAACACCGGUGGCGAAAGCGGCUCUCUGGUCUGUAACUGACGCUGAGGCUCGAAAGCGUGGGGAGCGAACAGGAUUAGAUACCCUGGUAGUCCACGCCGUAACGAUGAGUGCUAGGUGUUAGGCCCUUUCCGGGGCUUAGUGCCGCAGCUAACGCAUCAAGCACUCCGCCUGGGGAGUACGACCGCAAGGUU
rnacentral:rRNA from 1 species